GGCGACGUGACCUCGUAGCCAAGAGCAGCACAUUUCCUCUCAUUUCAAAACUUCAUCAAAAGUUGUUGUAUUCAAAGAUUCGAGUUGGUACACUUCGUAGACCAAGGUAUGGUGUCUAACUAAUUCGUUUUGUAUAUUGGAUUGUACUUUUUCGAUUAUUAGUUUCCAAUAUUGCUCAUAAUAUAUAUAUAGUAUCGUUAAUAUGAUGAGUACAUUUUAUUUGAUAGUUUGUGUAAACCUAUUAUAAAGUCUAUUAGAUACAAGUGAUAAUUAUAAUCGUUUAUUAGAUGAAAGACAUGUACCGGGAGGCGUUGUGACAGAAGAGAGGUCGUCCUCAUGAGUUAUAUCCGGAAUUCCGGACGUAUCUAGUAAGGAUGCUCCUGUUCCUCCUGAACUCCAUGUGCCUAACUGUGACUAUGGCAGACUGGCUUGGGUAUGUCAAUCCAAACAUCCAGACACGGCUGCUCGUUGCUUCUACCUUUGUGGCGAUUUUGAC
rnacentral:lncRNA from 1 species